CGUAAUUAAUUAGAUAUUUAAUAUUUUAUAUACAAUUAUAACAUAAUUAAUUUAAAAUAACAUAUGUGGUUUCUACUAUAAAACAGCUUUGGGCCACAUAUAACAUUACACUUAUAUACAACAUGUAUAUUUAGAACACGACAACCCUAAACCUAAUUAAUUUCGUCCUCUUUACACAGCCGCCUCAACUGGUACAUCUUUAUGGCAUGACUCCGCUACCAUGUCCUUGGCCCCAUACAUGACGUCACCGCCACCGCCACCUGAUCCUUGUCCAUUACCGUCAUCAUCAACCUCCCCUAUACAUUAGCCCUAAAAUCUUGCAUCUCGAAUCUUGUCUUCGGCAUUAAUAUCCGCCAACCAGCAGCAACUGAAGUUACACCACCAGCCGUCAGGCAGCAACCAGCAACUACUUUUUCUGCAACACUACUGAUAACUUAGGCAACAGUCGGCGACGGUCUAACCAUCUCCAACAAUUAUCCCCGAAGCAGCAUCUAGCAUAAAAGAGCUAUUGAUGAAACAAAUACAAGUUGAAUCUAGAUACAACGUUCACGACAUGAAACAAAGAGAAGGAAUGGUAUCCGAUUUCAACAAAACUACAGAAUGGUGCUAUUGAUUUGAUGUGAGGCAUUAGAAACAUCCGGGGAGUUAUAAGUGGGGGAGAGACUUGUAGUUAAGAUGAUUAAAGAAAUGACUGUGAAAGUGGCUUUAUUUAUUCAUGCUAAGAUGAAGUUUGAUUGGUUGAAUUUUGUUCACACGGAUGAAUAACUUAAUGAAUGGUUUUGAUGGUAUUAAGAUAAAAUUAAGGGUCAAGAUGUCCUCUACGUGUGAGAGUCAAUGUGCUUUCAAGAGAUGAAUUUGAUUGGUUGCUUUUGUUUCA